UGAGUUAAAGUCCGCUGGAUUGGAUAUUUAGUUGUUAAUUAAUGUUUUGUAGGAUCGAGGCCUGCUAGCUC
rnacentral:tRNA from 1 species